GGAGGGGUGGUAGAGCGGUUGAUUGCACCGGUCUUGAAAACCGGAGAGGUGUUAAAGCCUCCGUGGGUUCGAAUCCCACCCCCUCCACCA
rnacentral:tRNA from 1 species